ensembl:lncRNA
UUUUAUGAUGGUAGAAUCACAGGAUAUGAAAAGUGAAAAAACAUUCACAUUCAAUCAUUAUUUAAUUUAAAUCAUAUUUACAUACAGUGGUAGGUUCUAAAAUAAAUUGUUACUACUGUACAUUUGCAUUGUGGUCUGCAAAUCUUUUACAUCACGGAGUAAUGAAACAACUGCUGUAAAAGAACGUUGGUUUAAAACAAAUUAAAAUAUAAAUAAAUCAAGGAUCACAAUUGUAAGGGACUGAAGGAGAAAAUGGAGGUCAGAGAAACUCCUUUAACAUCGUGGACCCCCCCCCCCCCCCCCCCCCAGACAGACGGAAGUCACAUGACAUUUCCCCUUUAUAUCCAUGGAGACGCUUCCUCUAUAUUAAGACGCCUCUUUAAGAAAACACUGGAGUGAACUCAACUCAGCCCGGGCUGAAACACUUCAAAACAUCCUGUACACGACUCACAUGGAUCUCAGCACACCUCCCAAACGGCACACUAUCCCCUACAUAGUGAACUACUUUUUUAAACCCGGGUAAGUGCACUAAUAUAGAGAAUAGGGGGCCAAAUCUUGCGUGCCCCACUGACCUAGUGGAUUACCAUCUCACAAGAAACAAGACUGUACAUCUACUGCACACCAACUCCAUAUGAUUAAAUGUGUUUCCCAUAACACCUCUUCAUAUAUAUUAUUGUAUUGACACGGUUUUGGUGUAAAAGACAAGCCCUACUUCCAUUGACUCAAAGCAGAAUAGCUGAACCAUAAUCAUGGGGGAAAAAAUUGAGUAAUUUGGAAAAAAGAUUCAUUUUGACGUGAAGAUACCAGGUUAGGUGUGGAUUUGGCCCGUCAGCCCACCAGAACUUGGUACCAGGUGUGGUGUGGAUUUGGCCUGUCAGCCCACCAAACUGGUACCAGGUAUGGUGUGGAUUUGGCCUGUCAGCCCACCAGAACUUGGUACCAGGUGUGGUGUGGAUUUGGCCUGUCAGCCCACCAGAACUUGGUACCAGGUGUGGUGUGGAUUUGGCCUGUCAGCCCACCAGAACUUGGUACCAGGUAUGGUGUGGAUUUGGCCUGUAAGCCCACCAGAACUUGGUACCAGGUUGAGUGUGUGGAUUGGCCUGUCAGCCCACCAGACUUGGUACCAGGUUAGGUGUGGAUUUGGCCUGUCAGCCCACCAGAACUUGGUACCAGGUAUGGUGUGGAUUUGGCCUGUCAGCCCACCAGAACUUGGUACCAGGUAUGGUGUGGAUUUGGCCUGUCAGCCCACCAGAACAUGGUACCAGGUUAGGUGUGGAUUGGCCUGUCAGCCACCAGACUGGUACCAGGUUAGGUGUGGAUUGGCCUGUCAGCCCACCAGACUUGGUACCGAGGUUAGGUGUGGAUUUGACCUGUCAGCCCACCAGAACUUGGUACCAGGUUAAGUGUGGAUUUGACCUGUCAGCCCACUAGAACUUGGUACCAGGUUAGGUGUGGAUUUGGUCUGUAAGCCCACCAGAACUUGGUAUCAGGUAUGGUGUGGAUUUGGCCCGUCAGCCCACCAGAACUUGGUACCAGGUAUGGUGUGGAUUUGGCCUGUCAGCCCACCAGAACUUGUCGGUAGCAGUACUGGGUUAAAGGCCUUGAUAUUUCAGGGGAUUUCUGCUAUGCUUAUUUGCCAUGAUACACUAUAUAUACACACACACACACACACACACGUAUGUUGACACCCCUUUAAAUUAGUGGAUUUCAGCCACACCCGUUGUUGACAGGUGUAUAAAAUCAAGCACAGAGCCAUGCAAUCUCCAUAGACAAACAUUGGCAGUGGAAUGGCCUUCAUGAAGAACUCGGUGACUUUCAACGUGGCACCGUCAUAGGGUGCCACCUUUCCAACAAGUCAGUUCGUAAUUUCUGCCCUGCUAGAGCUGCCCCAGGUCAACUGUAAAUGCUGUUAUUGUGAAGUGGAAACGUCUAGGAGCAACAACGGCUCAGCCGCAAAGUGGUAGGCCACACAAGUUCACAGAACAUGACCACCGAGUGCUGAACCGCAUAAAAAUCUUCUUUCCUCGGUAGCAACACUCACUACCGAGUUCCAAACUGCCUCUGGAAGCAACGUCAACACAACAACUUUUUGUCGGGAGCUUUAUGAAAUGUGUUUCCAUGGCAGAGCAGCCUCACAUAAGCCGAAAAAUCACCAUGCGCAAUGCCAAGCCUCAGCUGGAGUGGUGUAAAGCUCACGGCCAUUGGACUCUUGGAGCAGUGGAAACACAUUCUCUGGAGUGAUGAAUCACACUUCACCAUCUGGCAGUCCGACGGACGAAUCUGGGUUUGGCGGAUGCACUACGUGCCCCAAUGCAUAGUGCCAACUGUAAAGUUUGGUGGAGGAGGAAUAACGAUCUGGGGCUGUUUUUCAUGGUCCGGGCCCCUUAGUUCCAGUGAAGGGAAAUCUUAACGCUACAGCAUACAAUGACAUUCUUCACGAUUCAGUGCCUCCAACUUUGUGGCAACAGUUUGGGGAAGGCCCUUUCCUGUUUCAGCAUGACAAUGCCCCCGUGCACAAAGCGAGGUCCAUACAGAAAUGGUUUGUCGAAGAUUGGUGUGGAAGAACUUGACUGACCUACACAGAGCCCUGACCUCGACCCCAUCGAACACCUUUGGGAUGAAUUGGAGCGCCGACUGCGAGCCAGGAGGCCUAAUCGCCCAACAUCAGUGCCUGACCUCACUAAUGCUCUUGUGGCUGAAUGGAAGCAAGUCCCUGCAGCAAUGUUCCAACAUCUAGUGGAAAGCCUUCCCAGAAGAGUGGAGGCUGUUAUAGCAGCAAUGUUCCAACAUCUAGUGGAAAGCCUUCCCAGAAGGAGUGGAGGCUGUUAUAGCAGCAAUGUUCCAACAUCUAGUGGGAAAGCCUUCCCAGAAGAGAGGAGCUGUUAUAGCAGCAAUGUUCUAACAUCUAGUGGAAAGCCUUCCCAGAAGAGAGGAGGCUGUUAUAGCAGCAAUGUUCUAACAUCUAGUGGAAAGCCUUCCCAGAAGAGUGGAGGAGGUGUUAGAGCAGCAAUGUUCCAACAUCUAGUGGAAAGCCUUCCCAGAAGAGUGGGGCCUGUUAACAGCAAUUGUCCACAUCUAGUGGAAAGCCUUCCCAGACGAGUGGAGGCUGUUAUAGCAGCAAAGGGGGGGAUGAACUCCAUAUUAAUGCCCCAUGAUUUUGGAAUGAGAUGUCGAGGAGCAGGUGUCCACACUGUUGGUAUUGUAAUGUAAGUUGUAAAAAAUACAAUACAAAUUAGCCAUCAGUAUCUGAAACAACUGACAGAUUUGCCUUGUUAUGGAUUUAGGACAAGGCAAGCUGCGUGGAGAUUUAAAACCUUGUGUUGUGUGGUUAAAACUUUUGGCUUUUGGUGCUAUUGGCCCAAACAGAUUUUUAACCUCGUCAACCCAGGGAUUCGAUCAGCUACCUGCCUCCCCCCCUCAACCACAGGCUCCUGCCUCCCCCCUCAACCACCCUAGCACCUGCCUCCCCCUCUAACCACUAGGCUACCUGCCUCCCCCUCUAACCACUAGGCUACCUGCCCCCCCCCACCCCUCUAAACCCCUAGGCUACCUGCCCCCCCCCCCUAACCACUAGCUACCUGCCCACCCCCCCCUCUAAACCCCAGGCUACCGCCCGCCCCCACCCCCCCUAACCAC